AGUUUAUGGUUCUCUGGUCGGAGACUCGAGGCCCUGGGUUGAACGGGACAGACAUACGGGUCUUGAUUUUCACUGACUAUCGUAAACUUUUACAUUGGCGUUUGGUUAGUUUGUAUACGAGCAGUGAAGGUGCAGUAAAAUGUGAAAAUGGAGUAAAUGGAGUAUUGAGUUGUGAUCAGGUUCUUAUACCUGAAUGGCCGCACACCACAAGAGACCUUCGAUGAAAUGGAAGCAACUUGUGGGGGGGAUGCCCAAUCAUAUGACGUUAUUAAACGCUAGUUCAGGUGUGAUCGGAGACCUGUGGAAACGGCUCCUAUCCCAGGGCGACCCCAGUCUGCCAUGGAUGAGGACAUCAGCCAUCAAGUGGAGAUUGCCAUUUUGGAUAAUCUCUUGUCAGUUAGCCAAGAUGUCAAGAUUAAUUAAAUAAUAAUGAUAAUAAUAAUAA